CUGGUUCUCAUCUGAUCAACAAAGUUAAGCAACAUUGAGCCUGGCCAAUACCUAGAUGGGUGACCAAUUGGGAAUACCAGGUGCUGUAAG